rnacentral:pre_miRNA from 21 species
GUCAGCUAUGUGGACUCUAGCUGCCAAAGGCGCUUCUCCUUCUGAACAGAGCGCUUUGCUCAGCCAGUGUAGACAUGGCCUGAU